GUAGAUCCAGUGCGUAGUCUCUCAUGGCGCAUGUGAGAUAUUAUAGCAAAAACUCAAUGCAGUCAAUGAGAAAGACUUUUACAUUUGCUAUUCAAUCACAAGACGUUUGCUUCUAGUUCUCGGCAAAACAUCAUAAUCUGAAUUCGUCUAAUAAUUACUUGUCAUCUUUGAUUCACGAGUUGUUUGUUGCUGCAGUUCACGUAGCAGCUAAGUCCAUUACGAAUACGAGGCGGCCGAAUUUCCACAGCUAAGCUAAGAAAAUGCCCCAAUCAAAGUCACAUAAGGCAAUGAGUGUCCAAACCUCAACGGGUUGCAUCCACAGAGAAUGACCUUUGGAUGCUGGCAACGCGCCUGUUCCCCAUCAGAAGAAAUGGUAUGACCUCUUUCAGGAGCUCUACUUAGCCCUAUCGCCUAACGACUACAGCCCCAUU